rnacentral:lncRNA from 1 species
UGCCUACCCCAUAAAGUCCCAGACAAUGCUAUUACCCAAGAUCCUCUGACUGGAAAUAUCAGGCCUUGAACCCGGGGUUUUCUGAAUGUGCAGCAUGUGUUUUACCACUGAGCACAGCACUUUUCCAUCUGCUGUCAUAGAAUGGGCUUAGACAGCAAGAAUACGGUAUGUGAUGUUGCCAUUCCAAGACUUUUUUUGUAACCAAGAAGUUGAACUGUUAGACUGUUAGACCACCAUCAUGAUGACCCCGGUUAAUUCUGAACCCUGUUCCCUAUUGCAUUUCACUUUGCAACCACUUUAACGUUUUCCCGAUUCUGUUAGUUUUUAUUGAAAUAGUCUAUGGGUAAAGUGUUCUAAUUUAUAAGAAACGUAAUACAAGUUAAUAUCAGUGUUUAACAGGCCUUGCUCAUUGCUUGGCUUUUUUGAAGACCAGUUUUGAAAAUGUGUUCAAAGGAGAUGGACGCCACAUUGUAGUUAUCUUUUACAUACUUCUGUCCACGUUCUCCAGGUAUGCAUAAUUUUGCAAACCUCUCACUACGCAUGUCUCACUUCACCUGUGUUUAUUCUGGGACUGAAUCCCUGUUCUUAAUAAUGCUUCACUCAUUGCUGUCAUGGAGAUAUAUCUCAUUUGUCUUCUCCUGCCCUUUGCAACUGGUGCUUUCUGUCACACUCUCAGAAGGCGAAAUUAAAUGGUUUCUGGUAAUGAAACGGUUUCUGAGUAACAGGCAAAGAUCAAGUAACUGAGGAAGUGACUCUGGGGGCCAAGGGAGCGUUUUUUGUUAGACCAGGAAGCUGUUAUCGCUUGUUACAAUCCCUCUACUGUCGGUUAACUUAUGUAUCUGAAAUAGCUAACCAAUUACAGCUGGCGAAUAGUGCAGUGUGGUGGAGGAAAGCUGAUUCAUUUGCAGUCACCAUAAAAGUGUGGUCAACAUCUUUGCUGUGCAACAUCAGGGCACACCUCUGAGAGAAAGCCAGACUUUGAGAGGGUUCUACCAUGGAAGGGCCUGAGCUUCUUGCCAGCAGAUAAUCAGUUAACAACACCCACUACUUCUCUUGUCAAAACUGCUUCCUGACAGUGCUAUCAAAUUUCAGAACUAUACUAGCAAUCAUGAUGGAUUACUAUUAGGUAGCCAGUGAUUUUUUUCUCACCUUCGAAAUCCAAAGAACUUCACUUUUCUUUUCAUAUCUAACUUCACCACUGUAGAUACAUAUAAAUAGAAACUGUAAAAAAAAAAUUGGAAUGGGUAAGAAACAAAGAGGUUAAAAAGGUUAAAAAGCAAACACACUUUUACAGCACAUCCUAAACCAUGUCGAACUCAGAAGUAAAUCUUAUUGAAUUCAAGGGGGCUUAGUUCUAGGUAAGUGGGGUUAGGAUUGUAGGCUUGGUGGUUUCUGUUACACUAUAAAAGAAAGGAUGGAGAGCAUCUGGUCCUCCAGAUGCUGAAAUGUAGCUCUCAGCAUCCCCAGCCAGAUGGCCAAUGGUCAGGCACAGUUGAUGGGAAUUGUAGUCCAACAACAACUGAGGGCCACAGUUCCCUCUCCCUGUUUUAUACUUCUGUUGCUUGUGCUAGCUUGAUCAUCCUGCUGCCUCAUUAAGUGAGUGCCAGGGGCACUAUUUCAUGUUUCAUUGAGGAGGAGACUAUCGACAAGGCUCAAAAGCUUACUCUUGAAUGUAUUAAAGCCUAAUUUACAACACCAGCCGUGUGUUUUAACCCUAUGUUGUUACUUUGCAAUGUCAUAUAAUAAGCAAAGUCACUGACGCUCCUGUGAGUGUUUCGGGGGUUUUUUUCAAUCACCCUUCACAAUUGAUGGGUAUUUUGUACUUUGGUCUUCAAAUAUGCAAUGCCUAAUGAGAAGCAGCAGCUUUCAGUGCCAUGGCUGCCAUGGAUUCCUAGGAACUUGUCAAAGGUAGAAGUCUGGAGGCAUGCUGAGAAGCAAGCAGGCAGAGAACUCAGUCUUCAGCUCAGACUAAUGAGCCAGGCUAGAAGCAGUUUUAUAGGACAAGGUGACAUCCUUUUGGCCCCUUUUUAGCAUAUGAUCUCUGCUGGUAGCUGCAAUACCACCCAUCAGCAGCAAUAGUGUAGUAGAAAGUAGGCCCUCCCUUCUCUGCCAAGCUACCACGAUGGUGUAAAACGUACAAGGGUCCUACUGUGAGAGAGUCCCCAGGGCCUUACAGAAUUGUAGCACUAUGUGAGAGCUAAGGAUUUUUAACAAGAAAUCCCUAAUCCACUUACAAGGCUGCAUUUUUCCCCAAAUGUCUUUAUGUUACAGUUAAACCAGCAUAAAACCCAUUAAAAAUUAUAGUGUCAAUCAGGGAUCAAGACCAGUGACCCUCCAAAAGUUGUUGGACUCCAACUCCCAUCAGCCUAAGCCAGCAUGGUGGAUGAUGGGAGCUGGAGUCCAUCAAUAUGGAAGGCCAGAGGUUCCCAAUCCCUGCUGUAGAUGUACUUAAAAGAAAACAAUCGUAGUUGCACAAUAUUUGAAAGGGUUUGGAAUCCAGCAGAGCAAGUGGUCUCUUUACAUAUCCCCUGCCCCACACCAAAGAGAUGACUGUCUGGAGGAGAAAGCCAGUUCAACACAGAGUGCAUUCUUUCCUUGGUCCCUGUCACACAAAGGUGGGAAUCCUUUGGCUCUCCAAAUGUUCCUGAACUACAACUCCAAUUAGUCCCAGCAAGCAUGGCCAACGGCCAGGGAUUAUGGGACUUAUAGUUCAGCAAAGGUUCCUCACACCUGCUGUAGUGCAAGGGAGCUGUACAUGGAAAGCUGAAUUGGGGGCAUACCAUGCAGGAAAAAGGUCAAAAAUAAAAAAGGAAACUCAGAAAACUCUCAGAUUUUAGAAAUUCGAUUUUGUGUUCAAUAUUACAAGUAAACAUUGGCACCUUAUGAACCCUUAUCCUGAAAUUGUAAAAAAAAAAAGCAAAGAAAGGAAAAAGCUGUAUCUGCAGGGAAAUGGUUAUUGGUGUUUCUCUUUUUUCUGCCUUAGUGCAGAAAAUGUUCCCUUUUUUUCCCUUAAUGUCUUCUGCUUCACUUCUUCCCAAACUUUAUCCCCUGUGGUUUUGCUUAAAAAAAUUAUCUACAAAUGAGAGAUCACAAACAAAUGGGUCCCUACAUAUAAAGUGGUACUUCCCCCACUUAAUGAUUGGUUUAUUAUUGUAAUACUGCUUCAUUUAAAAUACACAAAGGAGUUUUUAAAAUUGUACUGCUUCUAAAGGACCUUCCCUGGGAAUUUUCAACAUAUUCUUCACUUCCAGAUCAUUCUGUCAUUGGCUUUAUCUGCAGCGGCACAAAAUGAGGCUGCAGGUAUUACUUGGGCCACACAAGGACUUAGCUCACUAGAUUAGCUCCGAAACCUCCUUCCACUCCUGGUCAAGGCCAGACUCAGAGCCCAUGUUAUGCUGGGCAAAGGAACCAAUCCAAAUGGGGUGAUCACCAGGAGGAGCUAGCAGGGUACAAACACCAACAAACAGGUUAAAGGCUUGAUACCUUAGGAAUGGGCUGCAAGUGAAGAAUGCAUGUGAGAACCAACAUUUAAUUUACUCCACGGCAAGACACAGAUGGGCUGGACGGUUCAGGGAACAGACCAAGAAGCAGGAGUUGGGGGCGUAUCAGUAGAGGGGUUAGGAGAGGAGCAGGUCACUCUGUUGGCACCAUGAAGAUUUUUUUUAAGUGUAAGAGCAGGGAUAGGCAACCUAAGGCCCAUGGGCCACAAGCAGCCCACAGGGAUCAUUUAACUGGCCCACGAGCCGCCCCUGAACCAAGCCGCCCACUUGGCGAGUUCCCACACGCUGUGCUAAACCGGUGCAGCGCGGCGCGGGGACUCGCUUCCGCGGUGCCAGCAAUUGCAUCUGCGCAUGCUCAGACGCCGAAAAUCGCAGCCGCGCGUGAUCACACGUGAACGUGAGCCGGCCCACGGAGGGCUCUCUGCUGGAGUGAACAGGCCCAGACGAAGUAAAUCUUCCCAACCUCUGGGUUAGAAUGACACAUAACUUGUAGUAAAAAUCAAGUCACAAACGAUCCCUGUUCUUUCAGAUUCGAUUGGAAGCUGGAGUGGAAAACCACUUCAAGUUUAGACCAGAUGUGCCAAUACUAAGAUGUCAACAGUGUGUGACUUGUUGUAUUUUUCUAUUGCUAGUACUGUAUAGAUGGGCAGCCUGAGAGAGCACAGCUGGCCUUGAAGCAGGAAGUGGUGUGCUAUUGGCUCUCCUGGAUCACCUGACUCCCAAGCAAAGAAGGAAUCUGGCUGGCUGUUGUGUCUGUUUCCUAGCUUGAAAUUAAUAAGGAGUAGGUAAUGGGCAUAUGGCCAGAUAGCUGUCCCACUAUGGUUUUUAAUCACAAUCACAAUAAUAAAUUCAUACUAAAUGCAGCAUAAAGGAUAAAACUUGACAGUUUCCUGACAGAUGCAAUACAUGAUGCAGACUCCAUUUUAAAAACCUGAGCAGGAGCUUGAUAGCAAGAGCACAAGUUGAGUUAACAUUCCAAGAAAAGAAGAAAAGAAGAAGCGAAUAAACGUUUGGUCUAAAAACCUGGUGCUUUAUUAUGUCUCUAAAAGAGAUAGCUUUACAUUUUCACAUGAUGAAUAAAAGCUUUUAAUUUAGACACUCAAUCAGCUUAUGUAAAGUGGUAUAGAUUAAGAUGAAAAUCAUUUGUAAAUGUAUUUGUCAGUGUUUCAAACUACCACCCUUUUCCUAGAAGAAAUAUUAAUCAGAGAGAGCAACCCUGGUUCCCCCUAUUGCUUGCAAAAACUACAUAAAGCUAUUUCUCAUUCUAAGAAAGGACUUGUGCAAUGCAUUGAGUAUUUAUACAUUUUUCUACUUAUUCAAAUCCAUUUACACGAAAUAGCAAUGGCAGCCAACCUUAAGUUUACAUUUACAAAUCUUUAGUCAUCUGUCAUGUAAGGAGAAUAGCUAUCUCAAGAUAGUACAUCAGAUCUCCUGAAAUUUUUCCUUUUCAAAAUGAGAGAGGAAGAGGUUUUAUCAUUUUAAGUCCUCGAAGGAACUAGAAAAUUAAAAGUAAUACUGUACAUGAAUUAAAGCUCUCGAAUGGCCAAGAUACAAUAGCAGCCUUCUCUGAAGGUGUAUAUCUCUGCAUAAGUAACAUCUCUGACCUAGCUUGUUCCAUUCAGACACUGCAAGUAGCAGAGUGGUCUCUAUGCCACAUGUAAUUUGAUAAUUAAGUAAUUCCUCACAGAGAGACAAUGCAGAAGUGCCCACUGACGAGCCUCACCAUUGUAUCUCUGUAUGAGCCAGAAUGCUGACUCAUGCAGAAAAAUAGAGGGGGCGGCGUUCCAUUUAGGGUAGAUAAAUUAAUAGUGUUACAGGCAUAGGAGUAAGGCUGCCUUCAGUUUUAAUUCAGAAAAAAAGAUGUCUCAGCUAUCAGAUAUUUGGUAAGCACUGCUCUGAAAGCUGCUUCCCAUGUUAAUUGCUCAUCGUAGGUGAAUUGAGAAACGUUGGCUGUAAAAAUGGCCCCAACAACUACACAGCACACCUAAAGAAGGGGGGGAGUUAAUAAGCAACAUGCAUUGCCCCCCUCAAAGCAAAACACUGAGAUUUUAGCCUUUGGCUGCCUUAAUCUAUUUGGCAUUGGGUGAGGAAUGACUGAAACCUGGCACUGCAGACAGCCACCUGUAUGAAAUACAAUGGGCAGAGUUAAUCCACUGCCUAGUGGGCAGCUGCAUCCAUGAGAACAUUUACACUGUGCAUCUGGUGUCAUUGAAAGCUGCUUUGGAGGCUUAACCGCCCUUCUCUCUCCACCUGAUUUAAAGUUACAAAACAUGCAUGUAUACUCAGGAUCUCAUGUACAGUAUAUCUUAUCUGUGUUAUGUACUCCAGUAUGUACAAAAAAUGAGAAGUGCCUUCCAGCAUCAGACCAACAUUGAUCUCGUCUAGCAUUCUUGAAAGAAUCCCAGGAACCAGGUAGGAGACCACAGCCUAACAUCUGCACAGCUGUUUCUGCUGCUGUCUGGUAAGUUUCGAUGGAAAAGGGAAGUGAAUGGGAUGGGAUGGUUUUGGCAACAGCAGAGAGAGAUGUCACCAGAUAAUAGCACCAGAUUAUCCCAUUUUGAAUCAAAACCUCGUUUCAAGGCAGGGGACUGGACAAGCUUCAAAACGAGCCUUAGAGAACAGAAUAAAGUUGUGUUCCAAGCCCCCACCCUUAAUAAGUCAGCAUUGCACAUACAGUUUAAGGAGAAAUCUAUUGUUUGUGUAGGACAUCUCUCGCUUACCAGUGAAAACUCUCCCCCACUUUCCUUACAGUAAGAUUAUUUACCACACCUUGAUCCAAAUAUAGUUAUAGCCAGAUGAAGUAUAAUUAUGGGCCAGAGAACAUUGCUCCAGUGACCACGCAGUGCCAGUUGGUUAUCCCUGCUGAAUAAUAAAAGCAACAUGCUCAUCAGCUAUAGUCUUAUCUUUCAUGUUAAUGAAAAUUGCUUUCAGACAUUCUUCCAACAACUCAGGUUAAAAGCAAUCCUGCCAUCUUGUCAUCAUUUACAGAUUUAUCUUUCUUAUUUCCCACUAAUGGAGUUGCAAAGGCUCACUUGCUUAUAUGCUUCAGUUGCUUCUUCUCACCUCACUGCCGUCCACAAGUUGUUUCACAAUAUUCACUCUGUUUCAGUCUGAAGUUUUUGCAAGCGAUCCCUUUUUAUUUGUUUUUACUUAACGAGAUUUAUAUACUGCUUAGUCAAAAAAAUCAACAGAAUUUAAAAAGAAGUAGGCAUAAUAAAAUUCAGAUUCAAAGACCAAUAUACACAGUAAGAUUAAAUGCGUUUAGAUGUGUAAAUCAAAGGGGUUUGUGACUUUGACAUGCAUAGGAAGUACACAAUCUCAUUUUAAUUAUUUAUAAUAAUCUUGAUGUGUGUCAAAGAGUGAGCCAGCAGUAAAUCACACUGUUCAAGGUUGGAGUUAACUAUUAGCAAAAACACAAUCUUCACAGACUUGGCUGAGUAUUAGGCCUAAUGAGCACAGCAGCUCAUCUCUGGUGGGUUUUCUCCCAUGAAUCAGUUGCCGAGACUGAAAAUCCCCUCCUCUCCAGGACUUUUUCCAAGCAAUCAGAGACUGUGCCUGCAUGCAGCCUGCUGAUGCUCUGCCCAUUUCAUCCCUCUUCUGGUUCUGGGAGACAAGGAGGGAGGAGAGCUUGUCACAGCAGGAGGGGAAGACACCUGUGACUCUUCACCAGCCUGAUUCAUCUCUGCGUCUUGGCCUCCCUCAUCUCCUGCUUCAGCUUCUGCCUCUGAUUCUCAACUUCUCUCUGGCACAGACUCUCCCUGCUCACAAAGUCCUGUUAACUCUUCAGCUUCUGACAUCUUCUCUUCCCAGUCUUCCCCCUCUUCACACUCAUCAUUGUUCCACCACUACUCCCUGGGCUCUCAGCCUUCUUCCUUUGGUGGUUCCCCAACUGGGUCCUCUCCUCCCACCAUUCCUCUGUGCCAAACCAGUCCAUGGCAAUGUGGUGUGUAGAACCUGUGUCUGUGUUGGCCAGAGUUCAGGGGUGGAGAACCUCAGGCCUGGGCCCCAAAUGUGACUAUGUAUCUCUGUCUGACACUUGGGACAUCCCCAGCCCAUGCUCCUCACCAUCUCUGACUUGUACCCUCCUUGAGUGUUUUUGCCUGGUUCAAACCUGUUCAGAUAAUGCCUCUGGCUCCCCUCAGCCUAAAAAAGUUCCCUACCCCUGAUACAGGUCAUUUUGAGGCAUCUUUACAUGUGGUGUGAAAAUGGGAAGCUCUGCCAGGAAACCAGGAUGACCUUGUAAAAUAGGUUAAUAUUAUUGUUCUCAUAUGGACACGGGUGGCGCUGUGGGUUAAACCACAGAGCCUCUUGGGCUUGCCGAUCAGAAGGUCGGCGGUUCGAAUCCCCACAAUGAGGUGAGCUCCCGUUGCUCGUUCCCUGCUCCUGCCAACCUAGCAGUUCGAAAGCACGUCAAAGUGCAAGUAGAUAAAUAGGUACUGCUCCAGCAGGAAGGUAAACAGUGUUUCCAUGAGCUGCUCUGGUUCGCCAGAAGCGGCUUAGCCAUGCUGGCCACAUGACCCGGAAGCUAUACGCCAGCUCCCUCGGCCAAUAAAGCAAGAUGAGCACCGCAACCCCAGAGUCGGCCACGACUAGACCUAAUGGUCAGGGGUCCCUUUACCUAUUGUUCUCAUAUGAGGUCUACUCCAUGCACGGCACACAGGCAAGAUCUGAACUGAGAAUUUGCAGGUUAACAGCUCAAAUAUUUUGUACUAGCCUUAUUGCAUUCUUGGUUUUAUUUUUCUAUAUUGCCCUUUCUAUAGGAGACCAGAGCGGUGAACAAGGAGAAAAGUGCAAUCCUGUGCAUCUCAUUUGUGCCAGAACCAGAAUACAUCUCUGCUUGAGGGCUUCCCAAGAGGCCCCUGGUGAACAGGAUACUGAACUAGGUGGGCUUUUUUGCUCUGAUCCAGCAACGUUACAGGGGUAAGAACCCCCCCCACACACACAAAAAGCAACAAUGUAAUGAACGGUUUAGGGACAUGGGUGGCGCUGCGGGUUAAACCACUGUGCCGCUUGGGCUUGCCAAUCAAAUGGUUGGCAGGUGAACUCCUGUUGUUUGGUCCCAGCUCCUGCCAACCUAGCAGUUCGAAAGCAUGCAGUGCAAGUAGAUAAAUAGGUACCGCUCUGGCAGGAAGGCAAACAGCGGUUCCGUGUACUGCUCUGGUUUCGCCAGAAGCGCCUUAGUCAUGCUGGCCACAUGGCCCGGGAAAAAAUGAGCCCUCAAAUCAUUGCCUUUGUCAUUGUCAUUGCCUUUGAAAUGGUGUGCAUGUGCCGUAUCUUGUGAUCGAUUAUGCAGGAUGGGGCUUACCUCCCCCCCCCAAAAAAAAAUAUUUUAUUGAAGUUGGCACCCCAGUGAGGGACAAAGGCCUGGCGUGGUGCCCACAGUACUCCUUUUCUACUUGCAGGUAGGGCUGCCGGAGAUGGCUCUGAAGCGGGAGGCUAUUCCAAAACACACCCUGCGCCUUUCGUCUAAAGCGCUACAGUGCAUUCUAGCAACGCCUUAUUCUGCCCAUUUCCAUUCCUGAAGCUGUAGCCUCCCAGCCAUUGCAGAAACGCAACCCGGCGGAAUUUAGGGCCUGGGAAAGGCGUCCCUAAGAAACCCCACCCUUGGCGGAAGUGUCGCCAACUGCUGCGGCGGCUGCGCCUCUCGGCUCCCCCUCCCCUUUCCGGACCAGCUUCGCCUGCCUUUCGCUUUCACGGUUGUCCCUUUGCGCCGCGCGGAGAGAAGGCUGGGGCGGUGUUGGGGUGGGGCGGGGGGGUGUCUGGUGCCUACUCAAUCCCUUCCCAUUCGUUUGCAAACCCUCCCAGCCACAUUUUUAUUUUUAUUUUUAUUUAAUGCAACACCAACAUCUCCAAAAAAAUCAGAACUGAAUGUCCACGAAAGCAUAUACUGUACAUUCUCCUGGUUCACUUUGGAGAGCAGUGUUUGGAAACAGACGCGCGGUAGGAAGGUGCAGGUAACGUCAGAUCGGUGCCUAGGAGUGGGGGAUGGCGGGGCAACGGACCGCGCGGCAGCGGCAGGAUCUUAAGGGACGAUUUGUUGCUGGGGCCUUGCUUGUGUUUUGCAGAGCAAGGGAUGUGGCUCCGGCGCUCCGGCUGUUCACUCAGUUAGUUGCGGUGGGGUGCCUGCGCUGGGAAUCCAGGUGGCGGGGUGGAAGAGGAGUCGCUGGCCCUCUUCAGACUCCCGAAAAGCUCCUUAUGCAAGGUCUUCUAUUUAGCAAGAUUCAGAUCUUUUUAAUUUUACGUUAUUAAAAUGUGACUGGCCAACUGAUCUCCCUCUUGGAUCUCUGCAGAUCUGCCUGAAGCGGAGGGAUGAGGGAAGCGGGCGUCAGAGGGGAAAUAAACAGAUGCGCGUAAAGUGAAACGCUGCUCAGCAUUGAGGGGGAAACGCUGAACUGGUUUGCAAACACAUAAUGCAGCAACCGUGGGCAAGUAGAGAUGUUUGUCCCUUGCACGUCAGACGAUAUACCUUUUUUCACCCUCUUCUUUCUUCCCCGUUUAUAAAGCAC